GUGAAGUUAAUCACAAACAAACCUAUACCCCUUUGUUUGAUCGUGAAGAAUUUCUCCCAUCCCCUUUGUUCGUAUAUUAUAGAUAGGAAAGCCCAGCAAAUUCGCGAUUUGCUGGGCUUUCCUU
rnacentral:sRNA from 1 species